AAAAUUAAAGGAUGAUUUCAUAGUUCAACAGAAAAACAGUGUUGAUUAACUUUCUUUCGCUCCUAUCUGAUUUGUUUU
rnacentral:snoRNA from 1 species